rnacentral:lncRNA from 1 species
AUGUAUACACUCAUCACUAUGAAAGCCUAGACGCACAUCCUAUUCCUAUGAACACCUACGAGAGAUUGAACCGACACAUUAUCUUGAGAUGUACGAAGUCACUCCAGGGACCUCGUCGUCAACGGGAACGUUUGCUUUCACUAAAUACGCAUCGCUAGAAAUUAUAAAAUAAAUUCAGAGAUAAUGCGACCACCAUGACUUAAAUCCAGAUAGGUUGAUGAUAUAAUUGUCCCUUUGAUCAUCUAACCAUAGGUUGGUUGGCGUGUUUGCUUGAUCUGGUUAGCAUGAAGGCUUUAUUUCACUUUUUGCUAAAGAAUACAGUGUGCACAACAAACUAGGGGAGGUUCUGUGUUAAAAAUACACUAGGGGAGCUUCUUUCACUUUCUUUUUCUAAAGGAUGGAGUGUGUUGUCGCCAUUUUUUGCAGCAUGUGCUAGUUUUUUAUGAGCGACUUAUAUUUUGCUGCAUUACACGUUUUUGUGUAUAUAGAUGAAUCACGUUCAUUUAUUUCAUAAAGGCAAGUUCACAUCCCCUUUAAAGAAGUUCCUGAAGCUGACUAAUUGUUUCAGUAGAUUAAUGGUUCAANNN